rnacentral:rRNA from 1 species
GUGGGGAAUCUUGCACAAUGGGCGAAAGCCUGAUGCAGCCAUGCCGCGUGAAUGAUGAAGGCCUUAGGGUUGUAAAAUUCUUUCGUCAGGGAUGAUAAUGACCGUACCUGAAGAAGAAGCCCCGGCUAACUUCGUGCCAGCAGCCGCGGUAAUACGAAGGGGGCUAGCGUUGUUCGGAAUUACUGGGCGUAAAGCGCACGUAGGCGGACUUUUAAGUCAGGUGUGAAAUCCCGGGGCUCAACCUCGGAACUGCAUUUGAAACUGGAAGUCUUGAGAUCAGGAGAGGUUAGCGGAAUACCGAGUGUAGAGGUGAAAUUCGUAGAUAUUCGGUGGAACACCAGUGGCGAAGGCGGCUAACUGGACUGAUACUGACGCUGAGGUGCGAAAGUGUGGGGAGCAAACAGGAUUAGAAACCCCAGUAGUCC